AGACUGGAGUGGAGAAAGACUGUUGAAGUGUUGGUUUAACCUUAGAGGUAGGCUGGAGUGGAGAAGACUGUUGAAGUGUUGGUUUAACCUUAGAGGUAGGCUGGAGUGGAGAAGACUGUUGAAGUGUUGGAUAACCUUAGAGGUAGGCUGGAGAGGAGAAGACUGUUGA
rnacentral:lncRNA from 1 species